UACAGAGGCGGCAAGCGUUGUUCGGAAUUAUUGGGCGUAAAGAGCACGUAGGCGGCUGUGUAAGUCGGUUGUGAAAGCCUUCCGCUCAACGGAAGAACGGCAUCCGAUACUGCAUGGCUUGAGUGUGGGAGGGGAGAGUGGAACUUCUGGUGGAGCGGUGAAAUGCGUAGAUAUCAGAAGGAACACCGGCGGCGAAGGCGACUCUCUGGUCCAUAACUGACGCUGAGUGUGCGAAAGCUAGGGGAGCAAA
rnacentral:rRNA from 1 species